CCUUGCCCAAAGCUUGGGGAGGCAGCACAGGCCACUCAGAUCAGCGUGGCUCUGGUGACAGCAUGGCCCUCAGAACAAUGGCUUUUUUAUGGGAUGUCUUCUGAGAGGGAAGGCUGGGAAAGAGCUGAAGAAAGGAAAGCCAAAGAAUGCUCAGGUCAAGACCUGGCGGUCGCCACUUGUUGGUGUCACAGUGAGUGAGUGAACAAGAUUAAGAAAGUGACGUCAAGAGCAAGAUGAAUCAUAAUCUUGGAAGUGGCUCUUCAUUGUGCAAUUUUACCUCUUCUGUCCUCUAGGAAGUGAUCUACUACCUUCUGCUUCUACUAGAGAUGAUACAUCCCAGAGCAGGCGGUGUCACAGAGGUUGCUUUUGUCCUUGUUUUCUCCCCUUUCCAUGUUGUCCCUCUCACAAUUCCAGAUUAAUUGGCACAGGCCUCUAACUGACUCAGUCUGGGUCAGGGACUUGCUCCAGUCAUCUGUUGUGGAGGCCGCAGUCACAGGAUAUGUAGUCUCCUGGUUUUGACAGUCAUAGUGAAACAUGAAGGGGACCAUACUGGAAAGUAUCAAAGAACAUGGAGCAGAGUAGACU